UGCCUGCAGUGCUGGGAAGCUGCCCCUGGUGGAAACUGUCUCCAGUGGGCAAAACAGCACUGCGGAAAACAACCCGAGGAGUGAAAAGGCGUGACUUCUGCAGGUUUGGGGGUUUCACGUGCGAUGCUCCUUGGACACGUCCCUGCCUCCCAUGGAGGUGCCGGUCCGGGUCGUGGCCGCCACCGUUCUUGAGGCAGGUAGAGUAAAAGCUGGCGGCUAGAUGUUGUUUGCAGCAGGAGAAGGUUUUUCUGCCAGACACUGUCAGCUGCUACACAC